rnacentral:antisense_RNA from 1 species
AAGGACUGUGCUCCCAAUCCGCUUACGCUCAAGGAAGAACUGAUGAGGAAAUGGAGGCACAGACUGAUUAGAAAACCAGCUCAAGGUCAUGUUGCUGGGCUCUCUGGUGGAGCCUCUGUCUCACAGGUCACCUGCAGGCCAACACUCCCAGAAGCAGCUAGCACCAUGGUUGACCUCGUCCAGGUCCAGGGAAGGCCUCCCUCUCCAGGACUCCUUUAGAUUUCCCCAGCAUCCAGACCUCACCUGCCUAAGUGCUGUUGCCCUGGAAGCCACACAGUGAGCACGAGCUCCAUCUUGCCCCUUUACCAGCCAAUGGGGGUAAAGACAUUAGCUGGGUUAGUCAGGCUGAAAUGCUCAAGACACUCUGUCUCAAGGGAUUUGUGGCUGUUUCAUCCUCAAGUAUAGGGGGAAUAGUGGCCAGGAAGAUCUCAGAGGUGGCUUCUGGAAGAGGAAUCUGGGUACUGGCUACCCUGCCUUGUGUCCCAUCAUUGGUCUGUCUUGCCUGUCUUGGAGCACAUUUCUCACCAAGCCAGGCAUGGUGGCGGGAGCCUGUAAUCUCAGCU